rnacentral:rRNA from 1 species
AACGAACGCUGGCGGCAGGCUUAACACAUGCAAGUCGAACGGCUGUAGCAAUACAGCAGUGGCAGACGGGUGAGUAACACGUGGGAACCUUCCUAGGGGUACGGAACAACUCAGGGAAACCUGAGCUAAUACCGUAUACGUCCGUAAGGAGAAAGAUUUAUCGCCCUUAGACGGGCCCGCGUCGGAUUAGCUAGUUGGUGGGGUAACGGCCUACCAAGGCGACGAUCCGUAGCUGCUCUGAGAGGAUGAUCAGCCACACUGGGACUGAGACACGGCCCAGACUCCUACGGGAGGCAGCAGUGGGGAAUCUUGGACAAUGGGCGCAAGCCUGAUCCAGCCAUGCCGCGUGAGUGAAGAAGGCCUUAGGGUUGUAAAGCUCUUUUGGCAGGGACGAUAAUGACGGUACCUGCAGAAUAAGCCCCGGCAAACUUCGUGCCAGCAGCCGCCGUAAGAC